rnacentral:rRNA from 1 species
UACGUAGGGUGCAAGCGUUGUCCGGAAUUAUUGGGCGUAAAGAGCUCGUAGGCGGUCUGUCGCGUCUGCUGUGAAAACUCAGGGCUUAACCCUGAGCUUGCAGUGGAUACGGGCAGACUAGAGUGCGGUAGGGGAGACUGGAAUUCCUGGUGUAGCGGUGAAAUGCGCAGAUAUCAGGAGGAACACCGGUGGCGAAGGCGGGUCUCUGGGCCGUAACUGACGCUGAGGAGCGAAAGCAUGGGGAGCGAACAGG